rnacentral:misc_RNA from 1 species
GAAAUGCGAUAAGUAGUGUGAAUUGCAGAAUUCAGUGAAUCAUCGAAUCUUUGAACGCACAUUGCGCCCUUUGGUAUUCCUUAGGGCAUGCCUGUUCGAGCGUCAUCUAAACCUUCAAGCCCUGCUUGGUGUUGGGUGCCUGUCCCGCCUCCGCGCGCGGACUCACCUCAAAUCCAUUGGCGGCCCCCGCGUCGGCCACGAGCGCAGCAGAAUCGCGAACUCGUGAGCCCGUCCGGGCGGCUCCCAGAAGCUACACCCACCCAGUUUGACCUCGGAUCAGGUAGGGAUACCCGCUGAACUUAAGC